UACGUAGGGACCAAGCGUUGUUCGGAUUUACUGGGCGUAAAGGGCUCGUAGGUGGCCAACUAAGUCAGACGUGAAAUCCCUCGGCUUAACCGGGGAACUGCGUCUGAUACUGGAUGGCUUGAGUUCGGGAGAGGGAUGCGGAAUUCCAGGUGUAGCGGUGAAAUGCGUAGAUAUCUGGAGGAACACCGGUGGCGAAGGCGGCAUCCUGGACCGACACUGACACUGAGGAGCGAAAGCCAGGGGAGCAAACGGG
rnacentral:rRNA from 1 species